rnacentral:rRNA from 1 species
CCUACGGGAGGCAGCAGUAGGGAAUCUUCCACAAUGGGCGAAAGCCUGAUGGAGCAACGCCGCGUGGGUGAAGAAGGUCUUCGGAUCGUAAAACCCUGUUGUUAGAGAAGAAAGUGCGUGAGAGUAACUGUUCACGUUUCGACGUUAUCUAACCAGAAAGCCACGGCUAACUACGUGCCAGCAGCCGCGGUAAUACGUAGGUGGCAAGCGUUAUCCGGAUUUAUUGGGCGUAAAGGGAACGCAGGCGGUCUUUUAAGUCUGAUGUGAAAGGCUUCGGCUUAACCGGAGGAGUGCUUUGGAACCUGGGAGACUGGAGGGCAGAAGAGGAGAGUGGACUCCAAGGGGAAGGGGUGAAAUGAGUAGAUAUAUGGAAGAACACCAGGGGGGAAAGCGGCGCGUUGGGCUGUAACUGACGCUGAGGUUCGAAAGCGUGGGUAGCAAACAGGAUUAGAUACCCCUGUAGUC